UAGGGAAUCUUCGGCAAUGGACGAAAGUCUGACCGAGCAACGUCGCGUGAGUGAAGAAGGUUUUCGGAUCGUAAAACUCUGUUGUUAGAGAAGAACAAGGACGUUAGUAACUGAACGUCCCCUGACGGUAUCUAACCAGAAAGCCACGGCUAACUACGUGCCAGCAGCCGCGGUAAUACGUAGGUGGCAAGCGUUGUCCGGAUUUAUUGGGCGUAAAGCGAGCGCAGGCGGUUUCUUAAGUCUGAUGUGAAAGCCCCCGGCUCAACCGGGGAGGGUCAUUGGAAAAAGGGAGACUUGAGUGCAGAAGAGGAGAGUGGAAAUCCAUGUGUAGCGGUGAAAUGCGUAGAUAUAUGGAGGAACACCAGUGGCGAAGGCGGAUAUCUGGACUGUAACUGACGCUGAGGCUCGAAAGCGUGGGGAGCAAACAGG
rnacentral:rRNA from 1 species